rnacentral:lncRNA from 1 species
AAAAUAUAUAAGAAAGAAAUAUCAAAAACUAAAGGAUUGGAAAUGUUAUAUAUUAAACGAUUUUUUUUAUUAUAAUUAUAUAUUAUGUAAUAAAUUUACUUGUUAUGAUACUAGCCAAAUUAUAAAAAAAAAUAAAAUCAAACCAAAUGUAUAUAUGAAAUUUUUUAAUUAUAAAAAUGGAUUUUACUUUUAUAAUAAGGAUCAACUUAAAGGAGCUGAUUAUGAUCAUAUUAAUGUACUAAUGGAUAGUAAGAAUAUGAAUCAUAAAGUUGGGUCUGUAUCUUCUCCUUAUUUGUAUUAUAAUCGUUAUGCUCAGUUUGUUGAAAUUGGAAAAAAUGUAACAGGAGUUAGUGGUAGAAACGUGGAUAGUGAUAAAAACGUGGAUAGUGAUAAAAACGUGGAUAGUGAUAAAAACGUGGGGAGUGAUAAAAACGUGGGGAGUGAUAAAAACGUGGGGAGUGAUAAAAACGUGGGAAGUGGUUUAAUAAACUCGUCUUAUGGAAAAAAUAAUAAGACGGUAGAUAUUACUUUUAAUGACAAUAGCUAUGAUAAAAGUAACAAUAGCAACUUUAUGGACACGCAAAAACAUGAACCCAUUUUUUUUUAUACCGAUGAUAGACUAAGCUCAGAUGAUGAAGACGACCGAGUUAAAAAAAAAAAAAUAAAUGAUAUUUAUAUAUUAAAACGAAAUUUAGAUAUUAUCCAAUAUUUUGGAAGAUUUUUUAAUUUGUCUAUACUUACAAAAAUAGAAAACAUGACUAUAGAUAUGUUUCAUAAUUACAAUUUGAAUUUGCCUUUGAUAAAUAAAUAUAUAAGCAUAAAACCUAGCGGUCAAAAUGGGGAACAUACAAUGGACCUUAGUAAUACCAAUAACAGUUACGACAUUCUUAGUACUAUUGUAGAUUUUACUAAAGACAGUAGCAACAGUAUCAACGAUAGUAGCAAAUGCAUCAACGACUAUAGCAACAACAUCAAUGACUAUAGCAACAACAUCAAUGACUAUAGCAACAACAUCAAUGACAAUUGCUACAACGAAUUGAUAGAUAACAGUAUGAAAAAUAAAAAUAUACAAUUAUCAAUUACAGUUUUAAGUUUAGAAUAUUGGAAAUUUGAAAAUAGAAACGAAGAGGAACCGAUACCAACAUUUUUUAUACCUAACAGUAUACAAAUAUAUUUUAAUAUUUUAAAUGAUAUCUAUCAAAAAUAUAACAAUAAUAAUGAUAAAUAUUUAAUAUUUUUAUAUGAUUUAUGUUUCAUAGAUUUAGCUAUUAAUGACUUUUUAAUUACUCUAAAAUUAUCUGAAGGCUUACUUUUUUAUUUUUUGAACAAUUUAGAAGAGGCUAUAACAAAUGUAUACAAAAAUAAUUUAUUACAUAAUACGGAUAAUACCAAUUGUCAUAUCAAAUAUAAUCAUAGUUAUUUGUUUAUUUCUUCUAAUUAUAAAUCGACCCAACAAAAUAAAACGAUGCAUAUUAUUGUAAAUGAAAAUAUUAUUAUGUAUGAUUUUCGAAUCAUUAAAAACGCUAUCGAAUUUAACCAUAAGAGUAGUAAAACGAGAAGAACGAUUACUAAAAAGGAGUCUAUGAAAAAGGAGUUCGAGGUGGCAGACGUGGUAGACGCACCAGAAGCGAAUGACGCAACAGUUAUUCUCCCAUCUAACAACAUAUACGUUGAGAGUAACACCAAUUUGAAGAUAGAUAGUCAUAUAGAUGAUAAACUAUGUACAACCAACUUAAAAGAAAAGAAUACUUUCUUUGAAAAUAAAAAUGUACCUAAUAUAUUAUCUUCAAAAAAAAUAAUAUCAAAAGAAAACAUUUAUUACAAUUUGAAUAAUAUGAAAAGCAUAGAAGAAAAUGAAAUUGAAAAAAUAAUUACGGGUACUAAUACUGAUGCUAAUGAUAUACAUGUUAAGUGUUUUUUUACAGAAGAUUAUAUAAUUCGU